UACGGAGGAUCCAAGCGUUAUCCGGAUUUAUUGGGUUUAAAGGGUGCGUAGGUGGUUCUUUAAGUCAGGGGUGAAAGACGGCAGCUUAACUGUCGCAGUGCCUUUGAUACUGAAGAACUUGAAUACACUAGAGGUAGGCGGAAUGUGACAAGUAGCGGUGAAAUGCAUAGAUAUGUCGCAGAACACCAAUUGCGAAGGCAGCUUACUAUGGUGUCAUUGACACUGAGGCACGAAAGCGUGGGGAGCAAACAGG
rnacentral:rRNA from 1 species